AGAGAGAGAGGGAGGAGAGGACCCUUUCUCUAGGAACCAUUCCCACACUUGUCUGCUGGAGUGGUACUCACCUGUGCGUGAGGCUGGAGCCGGCACCUCUCCCCCCCCCACGUGCCACAUCACACAUGGAGCGGAUCCAGACCACAGCAGGUGCUUGUCUGUGGCACAAGGAAGUCGUGUUUCUUAUCCAGUUCAUCAGAGGGCUAAAGUCAGGCCUCGUCAGGUGCUAGGAAGAGGGCCUGACAUGUGUGGGUGUUUUGUCAGAGUAAUGGAAAAACUGAUGCUACA